rnacentral:rRNA from 1 species
GGGCCCGCACAAGCGGUGGAGUAUGUGGUUUAAUUCGAAGCAACGCGCAGAACCUUACCUACCCUUAACAUCCCGGGACAGCUGCAGAGAUGUAGUGUUCUCUUCGGAGACUCGGUGAUAGGUGCUGCAUGGCUGUCGUCAGCUCGUGUCGUAAGAUGUCUGGUUAAGUCCAAUAACGAGCGCAACCCUUAUCUUUAGUUACCAUCAUUAAGUUGGGGACUCUAGAGAGACUGCCGGUGUUAAACCGGAGGAAGGCGGGGAUGACGUCAAGUCCUCAUGGCCCUUACGGGUAGGGCUACACACGUACUACAAUGGCAGAAACAAAGGGUUGCGACCUCGCGAGAGUGAGCUAAA